AACGUAGGAGACAAACGUUAUCCGGAGUUACUGGGCGUAAAGGGCGUGUAGGUGGUUUCGUAAGUCUGGCGUGAAAUUUUUCGGCUUAACCGGGAAAGGUCGUCGGAUACUGCAGAACUAGAGUAUAGGAGAGGGUAGUGGAAUUCCAGGUGUAGCGGUGAAAUGCGUAGAUAUCUGGAGGAACAUCGGUGGCGAAGGCGACUACCUGGCCUAAUACUGACACUGAGGCACGAAAGCGUGGGGAGCAAACAGG
rnacentral:rRNA from 1 species